rnacentral:rRNA from 1 species
UACGAAGGGGGCUAGCGUUGCUCGGAAUCACUGGGCGCAAAGGGUGCGUAGGCGGGUCUUUAAGUCAGGGGUGAAAUCCUGGAGCUCAACUCCAGAACUGCCUUUGAUACUGAGGAUCUUGAGUUCGGGAGAGGUGAGUGGAACUGCGAGUGUAGAGGUGAAAUUCGUAGAUAUUCGCAAGAACACCAGUGGCGAAGGCGGCUCACUGGCCCGAUACUGACGCUGAGGCACGAAAGCGUGGGGAGCAAACAGG